AAGUCGUAACAAGGUUUCCGUAGGUGAACCUGCGGAAGGAUCAUUAAAGAAAUUCCGGCUUCGCGGCCAAGUUCUCACCCUUUGUAUACCGAAACUUAAUGUUGCCUUUUUUGGGAAGGGCCCCCCCGGCAAUUUUUCUCGGGGGGCCCCCUUGCCCCAAGAAGGGGUUUUUUAAAAACCCCUAGAAUAAUUCUGCCUGUCUGAGUACUAUAACAAUAGUUAAAA
rnacentral:misc_RNA from 1 species